GCUAACGGCUGAACUGGCAACUUGGAGAAGUGGCAAGUCUUCCAGUAUGGGGAGCAAAACAGCUAUGGGUCAAGUCCGAUAUCUUUAGGAGAAGUCUUAUUGUGAGGGCGAGUUAUAUAACACCAUAGGACUGGCCGUCCCAUAUGAAAAGAUUAUAUUAGAAUUGAAUGAAGCUUUGUUUAUAUAUUGAUAAUGACAGUAUAUAUAUCGUGUCUUGACUAAUUGCGUGCCAGCAGUCGCGGUAAUACGUAAGAGACUAGUGUUAUUCAUCUUAAUUAGGUUUAAAGGGUACCCAGACGGUCAAUAUAGCUUAUAAAAUGUUAGUACUUGACUAGAGUUUUAUGUAAGAGGGCAGUACUUGAGGAGGAGAGAUGAUAUUUCGUGAUACCAAAGGGACUCUGUAAAGGCGAAGGCAGCCCUCUAUGUAAAAACUGACGUUGAAGGACGAAGGCACAGAGAACAAACAGGAUUAGAUACCCAAGUAGUCUUUGCAGUAAAUGAUGAAUGCCAUAGGUUAGAUUGAUCAAUUAUAGUCUAGGGUUAGUCUAGCAAACUAAUGCCCUAUGAUAUAAUUCAAAAUAUCUGGUCUAUAAAUGAAAGUGUAAGCAUUUCACCUCAAGAGUAAUGUGGCAACGCAGGAACUGAAAUCACUAGACCGUUUCUGACACCAGUAGUGAAGUAU
rnacentral:rRNA from 1 species